AGGCUGUAUUGAAAUUUCUGCGUUCCACACCAGUGCCUCUAAAAUUGUUAAACUGCAUCGCCCUUGCGGCUUUAUUAGACCUCGCCUGUUCCAGCCAGGCUUGACAACGAAUGCCUAGCGUUCCGAGUGCAGAGUAGAUUUGCUAUGCGGGGUCCUGCUGCCCCCAGCAGCUCCCCGGGAAAUCCAAGGCUGUUCCAGCCCCCCGGCCCUUUGUGCCGGAGCCCAGCGCCCAGCAAUUGUGCCUCUAAUCAACAGCCUCUAAGCAGGUACAUACCUUGGGGAGCCCACUGUUCCCAGAAGGAGAUGCACGUAGAUCAGAUCUGAACCACACUGAAGGCCUGGAUCCAAGUCCAGCUGAGCCCAGCCUAGAUCAGCCAAGCUGCAGCCAAACCUCGGAUCAUUAUGAUUCUCUGCUAUGUAGUGAUAGCUAAGGCAACUACGUCCUUGCUGUGCAAUCUUUGACAAGUUAUCUUCUCUACCAAAAACUUAAUUUCUUCAUCUAUAAAAUGGCAAAAUAUAGAGCAAUUGUAAGAAUUAAACAAAAUAGCAGCGCGAAGUACUUAGCAUAAUAUAUAGUUAAUAAAUAUUAAAUAUUAUUAUGCUUUAUAAGCCAUCCCCAAUUCCUUUGCCCUUUCCUUUGCUGACUUCCCAGAUAUAUCUUUCUCUAUCCUAGACACUACAACCACCAUAUAUCAGCAAUGCAUUUAGGAGGCUGAAUUGCCAGGUCCUGGGCCAUCUUAUAAAAUACUGCUAUGUGGGAAGAAAAAACGACGCAGGCUGUAGUCACUGUUAAUAGUAAGAAUGAACACAUAGAGCAUUUCCCCUGUGCAGCACUGGGCCUCAAAAGGAGAUGUGAUUGGCCUAAAGGUGAGCUUUUCCGAGGACUGGUCCAGGACCCUUGCCAUAGUGAGAUGCGGGAACAAGCCCCAUCGAUAGAGAAGUGCACAUAGGCCUCCAGCCUUAGAGCAGCUCUCCUGGUCCAGGGAGUUCCAGGAAGUCUUAAAUGGAGAAAUGAAUCACCAUAAGCCUUUGUGUUUGCACCACCCUUCACAGUCCAUGCUGGGAUCCUGGUACCUUGCAACAACCCCAGAAGACAAGGCCGUGAUUGCUUGCACUUUGCAUUCAGGAAAGUGAAGGCUCGAACUGGGCAGGAAAGUGGCAGAACCGGUGUAAGAGCUCCACUUGUUUGGCUCUUCACCAGGGCUCUCACAUUAACUGGCUCUUGCAGAAGAGCCUUCUGGGAGAGCUCCCAAUGUGAGAUGGAAGAGAAAUUGUCACACUCAGCAAAGUUGAAUCAGCCUGCAGAGGCUUCCAUGCACACCUGCUAGUGAGUAUUCACUGGAGUGAAGAGCGAGGAGAGUUUCAGAGAUCGUUGAGGAGAGUGCCAUCCCAGAACUGAGGCAUUUGUACAUUUCUGUCAUGUCUACAUUUUUACUCAGUUUGAUUUUUUUUUUCUGAAUAGACCAUGUUUUUACUUCAAUAUAAUUGUAUCUGUGAAAUCACAGAUACAAUAUGUUAGUUGUAUUUUUUCCAAAUAUACCUUAAAACAAAUAUGACUAUUCAAGCAAAAAUUGUUCAUGCAUGUACCUUCUAAAAUCAUCACAUUCAUGCUACCAAGAAACUACUAUUAUGGGAAAUGCUGAUGUAGUCUAAGACUUUUAGUUUUCAGAGGAAAACGAGGCAGAGAGGCAAUGGGGCGGGCCAAGGCCAUACAUUUUGAACAGAGUCAAGGCCACAGCAGGGCACAGCCAAGUCUCCACUCACAUGGCUCAACCAUCUGUCCUUGCCAGUGGGUCCCCAGCAUGUACUCUGGGAUGCCAGUUCUACACAUGGCUCCCAUUCUAGGUAAGAAGACGAUUCUGGGCCCACAGAGUUUGGGAAACACUGGCCUAAACCCAGUCAGGAGGGUUUUCUGGCCUUACAACUUGGCAAACACCGAAGUGACCCCAAAGUGCCAGCUCUUGCUAUCUCCAAACGACUCUGGCCACAGAACCCAUUUUCCCAGAGUACCUGGAAGGGCGGCAUGCUGAUGAGCUCUCUUGAGGCUCUGUGCCCAGCAGGUGAGGCCCAGUGACCUUCCUAGAGACACAGGCCCACUUUGUCUGGUAACCUGAGACCCAUAAGAAAAGAAUCAAGGAUGAUUUUCCUACAAAAUGGGGUUAUUUGUUUGUGUGCAUUAAAUGGGACUGUGGACCUACGUGUGCUUCAUGAUGGGAUGAACAUCUGGUGGGACAGAAUUGUUUUUGUCAUCAAAAGCAGCUGCCUGCCCUGAACACCUAUGAUGCCAGUGCUGUGUGAGGCACUCAAGGAGACCAACUGGUGGGACCUUCUCCAUCUUUGUCCCCACAGAGCUGACAGCCUAGGUGGGGAGAAGAGCCCAUCAAGAGGUGUGAAUAUUUAAUGUACCAACGUUCCAAGUCCAGACAGCCAUGGGAUCCAGGCUACAGGGCAAGGUGAACAGAACCACCAGAACCUUCAGCAGCCUGACCCCAAGCCCUCAACCUCACUGAGAUGACUGCUGACCAACCCCUAACAGGGUUCUGCAACACGUGGUGAGUAGGAAAGCAACUGAAGACCUCUCCUCUUCUCUUAUAAGCCCUGUGUUCUCCAUAUCCUGUCUUCACAGACUACUUGGACCUCGGAACCAUCCAGAUAUAAGCUUCUUUGGCAGACCACACCUGCCCCAUGUCUUCAAAUAACCUACCAGGAUGGAUUACAAACGAUGGCCUUAGACACUGUCUCAUCAACUCCCUUCUAAUCCCUCUCCCCCUUCCCCCAGCCAGCCACCUAUCUUGUCUCUUUCUCCUUUUGUGAAAUACCAUGGAAUCUUUCACAGCAAAGUCUUGGGAAGUUGUACUGACUCUUCUAGUUGCUGAUCAUGUGGGCUUGGGCAAAUC